rnacentral:tRNA from 1 species
UGCCCCAUAGUAUAGUUGGUUAUUACACGGGAUUUUGGCUCCUGUAACAUAAGUUCGAGUCUUAUUGGGGUAA